GUCAAUUCCCCCUAUAAAUUGUAGCUUCCCUCUCCCCUCGAGUAGUCAAGAUUAUUGAUACGUCCUUCUUGUCAUUUGCCAAACACAGUGGGAUGUUUCUCCAGGACCCUUUUCUUCUAGUCAUGUGACAGAGAAAGCCAGAUGAGAUGAAGAAUAAUAUGGCAAAGUUAUGUAAAAACAACUGUCAGAGGCCAAGUGAUCACAAAGAGCAACAGGGACAAGCUCUGCAGAAUACAUAAUCAUUAAAUCCUGUUGAUGGAAUAUAUUUGUGAGUGAGGAAAAAGCAGAAUACAUUAGCAAUAUUUCAAAGGAAUUAACUGAGAAGAAAAAACAACCAAAGCAAGUCCAUUAUGUAAUCACCUAGCCAUUCAGAGAUGAUCUGUAUUGAAAAAUGACAUCAGAUCCCUCUUUGAUAAGGAAAUGAAGAAAGAGAAAUAGAUGUGGACUAAUAAAGUAUCAUGACAUUGCAGUGUAAUUUUCUUUGAUAAUGAGAUCUCUCACUAACACUCAUUAAAUUUAAAAUCAUGGAGUAAA